rnacentral:rRNA from 1 species
AUACGGGAGGCAGCAGUGGGGAAUCUUGCACAAUGGGGGAAACCCUGAUGCAGCGACGCCGCGUGAGCGAUGAAGCCCUUCGGGGUGUAAAGCUCUUUCGGCAGGAACGAUAAUGACGGUACCUGCAGAAGAAGCUGCGGCUAACUACGUGCCAGCAGCCGCGGUAAUACGUAGGCAGCGAGCGUUGUUCGGAGUUACUGGGCGUAAAGAGUAUGUAGGCGGUUCUGCAAGUUUGGUGUGAAAUCUCCCGGCUUAACUGGGAGGGUGCGCCGAAAACUGCAGGGCUAGAGUGCGGGAGAGGAAAGCGGAAUUCCUGGUGUAGCGGUGAAAUGCGUAGAUAUCAGGAGGAACACCUGCGGUGUAGACGGCUUUCUGGACCGCCACUGACGCUGAGAUACGAAAGCGUGGGUAGCAAACAGGAUUAGAUACCCCGGUAGC